UCCUACCCCUUCCUUGCAGCUGUCUGUCCUGAAUUUAUCAUAGUAUCCAGAUACAGACUAACACGGCUGCUACUCUGAAAAGAGCUCUGGGCUGCCUGAACAUAGAAGAGCCAUGAGUUAAGGAUGGAGCACUGGUGAAGGCUGAGGCUGCAGGGAAGUGGCUCAGGCAGCUAGCCCUCUUGGGUGCUCAGCAGAAGAAGGGAUUCGGCUCCCUCUCUGGAUUCUGGACAGAUCCAGAACAGGAGAUACCAGAGAGGUAAACAGUUCUUUUCUGAAGUUGGCAUAUUUUAGAUCGAUUUACCUGGCCAUGAGGACGGCAGCAAGUUGACCACUGCUGCUCACCCAUCGAGACUGCUUCUGCCUCUCGACGCUGUGGAGUUCCAGAGUUGACGGCAGAGCGAUUGGGAAUCAAUCACUACCCACCAAUCCAGUGGGUAGUGUAGACAUACCCAAAGAUAAGGAGGAAAAGUUCACCAUGGUAUCAGAAAAAAGCUGAGUGGUAAAUUUGAGUCUUGGGUGAGACAUGGUGCUUUUAGCUAUGAUAUAAAUAUGAAUAGUUUUGAGGGCAUAUUUUGGAGCACACAUUCUGUGUAAGUUUAACUGCAUGCUGCAAGAAACAUAUUCCUGGAGGAAGUGGCAUGUAUAUUUCCUUUUCAUAUCUUACUUUGUCUUUUAGACUAUAAAUUGCCAAAGCAUAGGUUUGGUCACUUGAACAUUUUUAAUAUAGAACUGCAAGUAGUCAAAAUCAAAUUGGCUAUACUUUUAGCAAUAGUAGCUAGGAGCAGAUCUCUAGUAUGUUAAUCUCAUAAUGAAGUGACACGAACUCUGUCUAAUUCUGAGACUAGUUCUGUCUAAAGCAGCAGUUACCGGGGGUUUCCACAGAUGCUACUUGUCUGUCUAAUCCUGUGCUCACAUUUGUCCUUCUAACAAUAGAAGUGUCUUACAUUUCACCAGACUUGCUACCUUUUGGCAGUGAUGGGACUUCACUGACUCUCAAGUGGUUUUUUUUAAAUAAAAGACUAAGUUAUUUCAAAUUAUGUAGUUCUAAAGCAACAAUGUGACUUUUCCAUGGCUGUAGGAUGACCUAGAUAAAUGUAAUAUUGUAUAAAGGCUGAGGAGACUGUCUGUCUUAAAGCAGAAAUUCUCUAAUUUUCUUUGUAGUUGAAGAGGGCAUAAGCUCCCAUAUGUUCUGGUGGUGGUUUCUCUUCUAUUUUUCUUCAGCACAGCUGUAAUUUAAGCAUUGACUUGUAAGCACAACCCUCUUUGGUAGUUGAACUUUAAAGUUCCACACGUUCUGCUGAGUAUCUUCUGCCCUGUAGCCUGAAUAAGUGAUAUUCACUUUGGGGAUAGUUUCAUGUUAUUUAAAGGGAUUCACCCUACACAAACUACAUGCAUCCAUUCAGAAUCAGAUAUUAAAACAUUCCCAUUUGCUAAAAUGAAAUUGCAUUU